rnacentral:rRNA from 1 species
UACGGAGGGGGCUAGCGUUGUUCGGAAUUACUGGGCGUAAAGCGCGCGUAGGCGGACCUGCAAGUCGGGGGUGAAAGCCCGAGGCUCAACCUCGGAACUGCCUUCGAUACUGCGGGUCUCGAGUCCGGGAGAGGUGAGUGGAAUUCCGGAGUGUAGAGGUGAAAUUCGUAGAUAUUCGGAGGAACACCAGUGGCGAAGGCGGCUCACUGGUCCGGUACUGACGCUGAGGUGCGAAAGCGUGGGGAGCAAACAGG